rnacentral:rRNA from 1 species
CGUAGGGUCCAAGCGUUAUCCGGAAUCACUGGGCGUAAAGCGUGACGUAGGUGGCGCGUUAAGUGAGAUGUUAAAUCGUGGGGCUCAACCCUGUCGGUGCAUCUCAGUACUGGCGUGCUAGUAGGACAGCAGAGGCAAGUUGGAAUUUGUAGUGUAGCAGUGAAAUGCGUAGAUAUUACAAGGAACACCAAUGGCGAAGGCAGCUUGCUGGGCUACUCCUGACACUGAGGUACGAAAGCGUGGGGAGCGAACAGGAUUAGGAUACCCUGGUAGUCCACGCCGUAAACGAUGCAUACUAGACGUAUGGGGUAUCGACCCCCUGUGCGUCGAAGCUAACGCGAUAAGUAUGUCCGCCUGGGAAGUACGGCCGCAAGGGCUA